rnacentral:rRNA from 1 species
AGGACGAACGCUGGCGGCGUGCUUAACACAUGCAAGUCGAGCGGAAAGGCCCUUCGGGGUACUCGAGCGGCGAACGGGUGAGUAACACGUGAGUAAUCUGCCCCUAGCUCUGGGAUAGCUCCGGGAAAACCGGGAUUAAUACCGGAUACGACCACCUUAGACAUCUUUUGUGGUGGAAAGAAUUUCGGCUAGGGAUGAGCUCGCGGCCUAUCAGCUUGUUGGUGGGGUAACGCCUACCAAGGCGACGACGGGUAGCCGGCCUGAGAGGGCGACCGGCCACGACUGGGACUGAGACACGGCCCAGACUCCUACGGGAGGCAGCAGUGGGGAAUAUUGCGCAAUGGGCGAAAGCCUGACGCAGCGACGCCGCGUGGGGGAUGAAGGCCUUCGGGUUGGUAAACCCUUUCAGCAGGGACGAAGCGAAAGUGACGGUACCUGCAGAAGAAGCGCCGGCUAACUACGUGCCAGCAGCCGC